AUUUAAAUAGUUUAAUUAAAAAUAUUGAUUUGUGGUGUCAAAGAUAUGAAAUUGGUCAUUUUAAAUA
rnacentral:tRNA from 1 species